ACUUCCGGUUCUAGAGCAGGCGGAGUCACAGGGGGGAGGGGUCCGUCGGAUUCGCCCCGAACACUGCCGAUCUUUGCCGAAGCUGCUGCACCGGCUGCUGUUCGUCCUGCUCGCACCUCCACCGUCUGACACCAUUUCCACCAUGAUGGACAUUUUGAUGCUGAUGUUUUUCGCCAUCAUGGGCCUGGUCUUCCUCUCCUACAUCAUCUACAUGCUGUGAUGAGGAGGAGGAGGAGGAGGAGGAUGAAGAGGGCUCCUGCUCAGCCACACAGGCGGCUGGUAAACAUGGGCGCACACGGGAUGUGUGUUUUCCCUCUCCUGCAUCCCUGGUGUCCGGACAAUGGAAGAGGAGCCAGGGCCGUGAUGGUUUCCCAUCAGUGCUCUCAGGUGGGAUGUGAGGAGUGAUCCAGCGGAAGUGAGGGAGCACUGGAGGCCAAACUGUCUUUUCUCUCUUUUUCUAUCUCC